rnacentral:lncRNA from 1 species
GGGCCCCGCAGGGUUGUCGGGAACGCCCUGCACAUCAGGGCGUCGGAGGUCCCGUAUAGCGCCAUUUGGGCGCGGAAAGCGGCCACGUGGUCCGCAGGAUCAGUGGCACCCUCAUAGGCCUCUAAUGAAGGGAGCCGAAAAUGCGGUGGGAUUGCUUACUCUUGAAUCUCGGGGGUGAAGGGGGACCCCUGGUAUUGUUCGGCCCUCGGGUCUUCCCUGGUUCGGCGAACCUCACGCUGCACCUCGUCUAGUCGGCGGCCUACG